GUCAGAUUGCUGCAAGGUGCUACACAUCAAUAGCUCCAAGAUCUGAGUGCUAUCAAAGAGUUUAGACCACAGAAGAGUUUAGACCACAGCUUUCUUGAUGGCAGAAGAGACACCAGUAAGCAGAAGCCAUUGUAAAGUGGAGACUCCACCUCCAGGUUUUCCUGCCACAUGGCCUUGAAGAGGAAGAAAAAACUAGCCUGGAAAGUGGACUGCAACACAGAAAUCAUUUCCAUGAUUUUUAAGGAGUUAUCGAAGCAUGAGGCUCAGGAGGAUUCAAAGGUAUCAAAAUGUGGUCAUGAUCACUGGCAGUAAUGAGCAAAUAUUCUGCAUUAGAAUAAAGGACUUGAUUAUUUCUGA